GAUGAACGCUGGCGGCGUGCCUAAUACAUGCAAGUCGAGCGAACAGACGAGGAGCUUGCUCCUUUGACGUUAGCGGCGGACGGGUGAGUAACACGUGGGUAACCUACCUAUAAGACUGGGAUAACUUCGGGAAACCGGAGCUAAUACCGGAUAAUAUUUCGAACCGCAUGGUUCGAUAGUGAAAGAUGGCUUUGCUAUCACUUAUAGAUGGACCUGCGCCGUAUUAGCUAGUUGGUAAGGUAACGGCUUACCAAGGCAACGAUACGUAGCCGACCUGAGAGGGUGAUCGGCCACACUGGAACUGAGACACGGUCCAGACUCCUACGGGAGGCAGCAGUAGGGAAUCUUCCGCAAUGGGCGAAAGCCUGACGGAGCAACGCCGCGUGAGUGAUGAAGGUCUUCGGAUCGUAAAACUCUGUUAUUAGGGAAGAACAAACGUGUAAGUAACUGUGCACGUCUUGACGGUACCUAAUCAGAAAGCCACGGCUAACUACGUGCCAGCAGCCGCGGUAAUACGUAGGUGGCAAGCGUUAUCCGGAAUUAUUGGGCGUAAAGCGCGCGUAGGCGGUUUUUUAAGUCUGAUGUGAAAGCCCACGGCUCAACCGUGGAGGGUCAUUGGAAACUGGAAAACUUGAGUGCAGAAGAGGAAAGUGGAAUUCCAUGUGUAGCGGUGAAAUGCGCAGAGAUAUGGAGGAACACCAGUGGCGAAGGCGACUUUCUGGUCUGUAACUGACGCUGAUGUGCGAAAGCGUGGGGAUCAAACAGGAUUAGAUACCCUGGUAGUCCACGCCGUAAACGAUGAGUGCUAAGUGUUAGGGGGUUUCCGCCCCUUAGUGCUGCAGCUAACGCAUUAAGCACUCCGCCUGGGGAGUACGACCGCAAGGUUGAAACUCAAAGGAAUUGACGGGGACCCGCACAAGCGGUGGAGCAUGUGGUUUAAUUCGAAGCAACGCGAAGAACCUUACCAAAUCUUGACAUCCUUUGACCCUUCUAGAGAUAGAAGUUUCCCCUUCGGGGGACAAAGUGACAGGUGGUGCAUGGUUGUCGUCAGCUCGUGUCGUGAGAUGCUGGGUUAAGUCCCGCAACGAGCGCAACCCUUAAGCUUAGUUGCCAUCAUUAAGUUGGGCACUCUAAGUUGACUGCCGGUGACAAACCGGAGGAAGGUGGGGAUGACGUCAAAUCAUCAUGCCCCUUAUGAUUUGGGCUACACACGUGCUACAAUGGACAAUACAAAGGGCAGCGAAACCGCGAGGUCAAGCAAAUCCCAUAAAGUUGUUCUCAGUUCGGAUUGUAGUCUGCAACUCGACUACAUGAAGCUGGAAUCGCUAGUAAUCGUAGAUCAGCAUGCUACGGUGAAUACGUUCCCGGGUCU
rnacentral:rRNA from 1 species